rnacentral:lncRNA from 1 species
AUGCAAACUCCAAAGCAUUUUAAGGAGGCUUUCCACUUGCAGAUAAGGAAGAAUGAUGAUCUCCUGGAAGAGGGGGAAUCUCACAAAUUGUAUGUACUUCAGGCAAAUAGGCAGAGUCCUUUCAAUGUGUCAUCUAUGAACGAAGAGGAGAUUCAUACCAUUCUCAGACCACCACCCUCUCUGCGCAAAGCCCAGCCCAGAAUGGCUCGCUGGGGCUACACAACGGGCUUUUAUGGCAAUCUUCCACAUGGAUGCAGAGGACCCUAGCCCCCACCUUUGCAUCCAUCAUGGAAGCUUCUGAUUGGCUGGGGAGUGGCAGCCAUGUUAGGCUGCGCUAAGCUCCCAUUCAAGGUAGGUUGCAGAAACAAAACAAAAAUUAAAAAUAUUUUUAAAAAUACAGUAGAGUCUCACUUAUCCAAGCCUCGCUUAUCCAAGCUUCUGGAUAAUCAAAGCCAUUUUUGUAGUCAAUGUUUUCAAUAUCUUGUGAUAUUUUGGUGAUAAAUUCAUAAAUACAGUAAUUACAACAUAACAUUACUGCAUAUUGAACUACUUUUUCUGUCAAAUUUGUUGUAUAACAUGAUGUUUUGGUGCUUAAUUUGUAAAAUCACAACCUAAUUUGAUGUUUAAUAGGCUUUUCCUUAAUCCCUCCUUAUUAUGCAAGAUAUUCACUUAUCCAAGCUUCUGCCAGCCCGUUUAGCUUGGAUAAGUGAGACUCUACUGUAUAUUUAAAAAAAAUUGGGAAAAAAUUAAUGAAACAUUAAGAGACAAUUAGAGAAUGGGCCAACGAUGGUUCAAAAUACAUUGCCGGUUGCGCCAUGAGACAACGUAUUGGAAUGCGUCUCAGAAAGCGAGAACAAUCC